rnacentral:lncRNA from 1 species
UGUGUUCCAGAAUUUUCCUGGAACCGGAGUCCCAACAAUUCCAGAAAUUACAGAGCAGGUAUAAGCACAGAAGUGUCUGUCUCCUCUCCUCCUCGUCCUUGUCCAUGUUGUAUAAUUCCCCUCACCUUGUAAUGCUCUUCCUGUUGUAGUUUUGUAUGAGAAAAGCCAGGCAAGGGACACAAUGAACACAAAAAUGCUCGGCACUAAAUUUAGCUAAUAUUCGGUGGUGGGUUAACUUUAUCGUUUUGGAGGUUUUGUUUUGGAGUUUGUUUUUUGCUGUUUUGUUUUGUUUGAGAAAGGAUCUCUAGCUCUCUUAGGUCCCAUUGAAACUCUAUAUAUGGCUCAGGCUGACCUCCAACUUUUUUCUAUUGCCGCAGCCUAUCCCAGAGUAUGUGCAAUCGUGCCUGGCUCAAGCCUUAUCUUUUGAUGGGCACCCGACGGGCUCAAACCAUUUUUUCAGGACGUUCUACGCGCAGUGCAGAGUUAAAAAGACCACUUGGAAGCCCGGGAAAUCCUUUUAUUGGAUUAAGAGCCCAUCGAGUCCUGGAAGAACGGUUUAAAUUUGAGGUGAUGCAAAACCCAUGUCAACAGUAAAUGACUAUUUAACUUCCUUAAAAAGUACACCGAUACAAUGAAGGAUGAACAGUCCUGUUUAAUUAAAACCUGUCUACUGGCCUGGUGAGAUGGAGAAAAUGAAAAUAUAUGAGUUACACAGUC